rnacentral:rRNA from 1 species
GAGUUUGAUCCUGGCUCAGGAUGAACGCUAGCGGCAGGCCUAACACAUGCAAGUCGAGGGGUAACAUAGAAAAGCUUGCUUUUCUGAUGACGACCGGCGCACGGGUGCGUAACGCGUAUACAAUCUGCCUUAUACUGGGGUAUAGCCUUUAGAAAUGAAGAUUAAUCCCCCAUAGCCUCUUUUAAUGGCAUCAUUAUUAGAGUAAAGGUUACGGUAUAAGAUGAGUAUGCGUUCUAUUAGUUUGUUGGUGAGGUAACGGCUCACCAAGACUACGAUAGAUAGGGGCCCUGAGAAGGGGAUCCCCCACACUGGUACUGAGACACGGACCAGACUCCUACGGGAGGCAGCAGUGAGGAAUAUUGGACAAUGGAGGCAACUCUGAUCCAGCCAUGCCGCGUGCAGGAAGACUGCCCUAUGGGUUGUAAACUGCUUUUGUACAGGAAGAAACCUUGGUACGUGUACCAAGCUGACGGUACUGUAAGAAUAAGGAUCGGCUAACUCCGUGCCAGCAGCCGCGGUAAUACGGAGGAUCCAAGCGUUAUCCGGGAUCAUUGGGUUUAAAGGGUCCGUAGGUGGAUAAUUAAGUCAGAGGUGAAAUCUUGCAGCUCAACUGUAAAAUUGCCUUUGAUACUGGUUAUCUUGAGUCAUUAUGAAGUAGUUAGAAUAUGUAGUGUAGCGGUGAAAUGCAUAGAUAUUACAUAGAAUACCAAUUGCGAAGGCAGAUUACUAAUAAUGUACUGACACUGAUGGACGAAAGCGUGGGUAGCGAACAGGAUUAGAUACCCUGGUAGUCCACGCCGUAAACGAUGGUUACUAGCUGUGUGGACUUCGGUCUGCGUGGCUAAGCGAAAGUGAUAAGUAACCCACCUGGGGAGUACGUUCGCAAGAAUGAAACUCAAAGGAAUUGACGGGGGCCCGCACAAGCGGUGGAGCAUGUGGUUUAAUUCGAUGAUACGCGAGGAACCUUACCAGGGCUUAAAUGUAAGUUGCAUUAGUUAGAGAUAGCUAUUUCUUCGGACCACUUACAAGGUGCUGCAUGGUUGUCGUCAGCUCGUGCCGUGAGGUGUCAGGUUAAGUCCUAUAACGAGCGCAACUCUUGUCUUUAAUAAAUUUUUUACAUUAGAAAGUUCUAUGAAUUAGAUCUUUUAUUGCUUUAAAGAGACUUGUCUACGAUAAGUUGAAGGAAGGUGAGAAUUAAGUCAAGUCACUGUGGCCCUAAUGGGUUGGGCUACACACGUGCUACAAUGGAAAUUACAAUGAGUUAUUAGAGAGUAAAAUCUUUGAUUAAUCUUUAAAAAUUUUCUUAGUUCAGAUUAUGGGCUGCAACUCGCCCAUAUGAAGUUGGAAUCACUAGUAAUCGCAAAUCAGCAUGUUGCGGUGAAUAUGUAUCUUGGCCUUGUACUCACCGCCCGUC